UAUGAGACCCCAGUGACUGCAGGACCUCCACCCUAAUCACAGUCUAGCACUUAGGAAGGCAUCACAGUUCAUGGGUGUCGUAGUGACAGCAUGGAACCAUUUUCGGAGUCCUGCCCCACUGUUGCCUCACACAGGGUGUCACAGAGGGAGCUGGCUGUGACGUUCCAGCAUCCCAGAGUCUCAAUGAUAAUGAUGGGGAUUAAUGGUGAUCCUGAUUUUUUCUCUAGCGCAUUACAGCUAAGUGUUAGUCUAUGAAUGUAAUAUAACAGUGGUUUAAAAUCAACAGAUUGUAACAAAAGUCCCUCACAGGAGACAAAGCUGGUGCCGUGAUCUCUAUUGCAUUAAUGAGACAAAUGAGGAUAGGAAACAUCAUGUGGCUUCCCAGGGCUCCAUGGCAGGGGCGUGGCAGGGGGGAUUUGAGUCCAGGCUCCUACUCCAGUGCUGACCUUUCCCGUCACUUUCCUGCUGCCCAGUGUGAGCUCUAUCCUGUCCAGAGUCAUGAAGUAUUAGAGCACAUGGAUGUCUUAUAGAUGAUCUUGUCCAAGUCAUUCAUUUUAGAAGAGCUGAUGGAACUUCAGAGAGGUUAAAUUCACCUGUUGCAGGUCACCUAUCUCCUUAGUGACAAGUUUGAGAUUACAGCCCAACUUCAAGUCA
rnacentral:lncRNA from 1 species